rnacentral:rRNA from 1 species
AACGAACGCUGGCGGCAUGCCUAACACAUGCAAGUCGAACGAGACCUUCGGGUCUAGUGGCGCACGGGUGCGUAACGCGUGGGAACCUGCCCUUAGGUUCGGAAUAACUCCCCGAAAGGGGUGCUAAUACCGGAUAAUGUCUUCGGACCAAAGAUUUCUCGCCUUUGGAUGGGCCCGCGUUGGAUUAGCUAGUUGGUAGGGUAAAAGCCUACCAAGGCGACGAUCCGUAGCUGGUCUGAGAGGAUGAUCGGCCACAUUGGGACUGAGAUACGGCCCAGACUCCUACGGGCGUCAGCCGUGGGGUAUCUUGCACAAUGGGCGGAAUCCUGAUGGCGCAACGCCGCGUGCGGGAUGACGGCCGUCGGGUUGUACACCGCUUGCGCCUGUGACGAAGCGUGAGUGACGGUAAUGGGUACAGAAGCACCGGCUCACUACGUG